rnacentral:rRNA from 1 species
GACGACGAGGAGGAGGCGCACUGCCCCAUCUGCCUCGACACCAUGGAGCCGGGCCGCGCCGUGCGCGUCCUCCCCAGCUGCAACCGCGCCUUCCACCAGGACUGCGUCGAUCAGUGGCUGGCCAUCUCGCCUGGGUGGCCGCCCUGCUCAGCCGCUCGGGCCGCACGGUCGAGCUCGUUCGGCCGGACAACGCCAUGUCCGCCUCCUACAGGACCAUGGUGCGCGCGCUCUCGCGCUUGCCUGUGCGUGGCCAAGGAGGACGACAGCUAG